CCUUGGUGGCUUAGAGGGUAAAGCAUCUGCCUGCAAUGCAGGAGACCCAGGUUCGAUCCCUGGGUCAGGGA
rnacentral:tRNA from 1 species